AUGACGAUGGCAUUUUUCUUAAUUUUCUUAUCUCUGUUGGUCAAUUGGAACUUGAAACCGGGCACUGAUCCUAGGAUGAGUUGUUUUAAUAAUAUGGUGGGCAUACAGGAUACCUACUAUAGUGGCACAAAAACCAGUAUUGACAUGCACCAGGAACCAUUACACUUUUGUUGGAACCUGGACUUCUGGAUAGAUCUGUAUUGGGAUUUGCCUAAACUGCAAAAUUUUUUUGCUUUGUAUAAUUUGUCUUUCUCAAUUAAUGACAGGCAUUGCCUGGUUUCAGCAUAUGAUAGGUCGGCUUCAAAAUAUACUGUGAAAUGCAGAUUGAUUAUUACACUACUCCUACUUUUAUCUGGAAAUGUGCAGCCCAAUCCUGGCCCCUGUUUGCAAUGUGUCUUGACCCCUGCUGAAUUUAAAUCAAUGCCUGGACUUAAAAUUGUUCAUCUUAAUGUUCGCAGUUUACUACCCAAAAUGGACAUGGUUAGAAUUUGGAUUGAAUCUACAGAUGCAGACAUAGUGAUAAUUUCGGAAACAUGGUUGACAAAAUCAAUUACUAAUGAAGAUAUAAAUGUGCAUGGGUAUAAUGUUUUUCGCAGUGACAGGCCGAAGAAAGGUGGUGGCGUAGCUAUCUAUGUUAAGUCAAGAUUUGGUGCAUCAGUUGUUCUGUCUGAGUCUCUCUGUAAGCAAAUGGAGUUUUUGGCCUUAAAUGUUGAAAUAUUUAAGUCCCUUUCAAUAACUGUUGUGGGGUGUUAUAGACCUCCAUCGGCCUCCAGGGAGGCUUUAUCAUCUUUAAAGCUUCUUUUGUCCAGAUUAAACUAUAGGGAACUUUUAAUGGCCGGGGACUUGAAUUGGGACUGGCUAAAUGUUGUUUCUGAUGAAUUUAAAUCUUUCUGUGAUUCUGUCAGCCUUAGCCAGUUGGUAAAUGUACCUACAAGGCCUAAUCUCAAAAAUCCAGAUAAAUCUACUUUAAUCGAUUUGAUUUUAACAAAUGUCCCACAUAAAUUUUUAUCCAUGGGUGUCUUUUGUAAUGAUCUGAGUGAUCAUUGUGUUAUUGCUACUUUGAGAGGCAGUAAAAUACCCAAAUGUAAAUCGCAAGUUAUUAGAAAGAGGAAUUUGAAAAAUUUUAAUGAACAAGCCUAUCAUCAUGAUCUAUCUUUGAUUAACUGGGGACAGCUAGGCCUGUUGCCUGACGUUGAGCUUGCCUGGACACUUUUUAAGGAGAAUUUUGAGAAAAAUUGUAAAUAA
ensembl:lncRNA